rnacentral:rRNA from 1 species
GACGAACGCUGGCGGCGUGCUUAACACAUGCAAGUCGAACGGAAAGGCCCUGCUUGCAGGGUACUCGAGUGGCGAACGGGUGAGUAACACGUGGGUGAUCUGCCCUGCACUUCGGGAUAAGCCUGGGAAACUGGGUCUAAUACCGGAUAGGAGCCAUUUUUAGUGUGAUGGUUGGAAAGUGUUUUCGGUGUAGGAUGAGCUCGCGGCCUAUCGGCUUGUUGGUGGGGUAAUGGCCUACCAAGGCGGCGACGGGUAGCCGGCCUGAGAGGGUGGACGGCCACACUGGGACUGAGAGACGGCCCAGGCUCCUACGGGAGGCAGCAGGGGGGAAUAUUGCACAAUGGGCGCAAGCCUGAUGCAGCGACGCCGCGUGGGGGAGGACGGCCUUCGGGUUGUAAACUCCUUUCGCUAGGGACGAAGCUUUUUGUGACGGUACCUAGAUAAGAAGCACCGGCUAACUACGUG